UUUGAUCCUGGCUCAGGAUGAACGCUGGCGGCGUGCUUAACACAUGCAAGUCGAACGAUGAAGCCCAGCUUGCUGGGUGGAUUAGUGGCGAACGGGUGAGUAACACGUGAGUAACCUGCCCUUGACUCUGGGAUAAGCCUGGGAAACUGGGUCUAAUACUGGAUAUGACUUCUCACCGCAUGGUGGGGGGUGGAAAGAUUUAUUGGUCUUGGAUGGACUCGCGGCCUAUCAGCUUGUUGGUGAGGUAAUGGCUCACCAAGGCGACGACGGGUAGCCGGCCUGAGAGGGUGACCGGCCACACUGGGACUGAGACACGGCCCAGACUCCUACGGGAGGCAGCAGUGGGGAAUAUUGCACAAUGGGCGCAAGCCUGAUGCAGCGACGCCGCGUGAGGGAUGACGGCCUUCGGGUUGUAAACCUCUUUCAGUAGGGAAGAAGCGAAAGUGACGGUACCUGCAGAAGAAGCGCCGGCUAACUACGUGCCAGCAGCCGCGGUAAUACGUAGGGCGCGAGCGUUAUCCGGAAUUAUUGGGCGUAAAGAGCUCGUAGGCGGUUUGUCGCGUCUGCCGUGAAAGUCCGGGGCUUAACCCCGGAUCUGCGGUGGGUACGGGCAGACUAGAGUGCAGUAGGGGAGACUGGAAUUCCUGGUGUAGCGGUGAAAUGCGCAGAUAUCAGGAGGAACACCGAUGGCGAAGGCAGGUCUCUGGGCUGUAACUGACGCUGAGGAGCGAAAGCAUGGGGAGCGAACAGGAUUAGAUACCCUGGUAGUCCAUGCCGUAAACGUUGGGCACUAGGUGUGGGGGACAUUCCACGUUUUCCGCGCCGUAGCUAACGCAUUAAGUGCCCCGCCUGGGGAGUACGGCCGCAAGGCUAAAACUCAAAGGAAUUGACGGGGGCCCGCACAAGCGGCGGAGCAUGCGGAUUAAUUCGAUGCAACGCGAAGAACCUUACCAAGGCUUGACAUGUUCCUGACCGCCGUAGAGAUACGGUUUCCCCUUUGGGGCAGGUUCACAGGUGGUGCAUGGUUGUCGUCAGCUCGUGUCGUGAGAUGUUGGGUUAAGUCCCGCAACGAGCGCAACCCUCGUUCCAUGUUGCCAGCACGUAGUGGUGGGGACUCAUGGGAGACUGCCGGGGUCAACUCGGAGGAAGGUGGGGACGACGUCAAAUCAUCAUGCCCCUUAUGUCUUGGGCUUCACGCAUGCUACAAUGGCCGGUACAAUGGGUUGCGAUACUGUGAGGUGGAGCUAAUCCCAAAAAGCCGGUCUCAGUUCGGAUUGGGGUCUGCAACUCGACCC
rnacentral:rRNA from 1 species